GUACUUCUGAUGAGUCCCACAUUACUAGGACGAAACGGCCGUCCAGUGC
rnacentral:hammerhead_ribozyme from 1 species